UCUGUGGAGUCGUGGGUCUCCUCAGUGUGCUUUGGCUGCGGGUAACGGAGAGUCCCCUUUGCUAGCGGGCGAUCAUGGCUAGCAGAGGGAGAGAAUGUAUGUGAUUUUUCCCUUGGACGAAUUGUUAGAUCUGAAUAGUGCGAGAGAAAAUAAACGUGGGAGAGCGACGUUGGACAAGCAGAGCCAUACGAGGCACACUGAGGAAGUUUUGCCUCUUUCCCAACCUAACCAACUACUUCCCAGUCAACUUAAACCUCCCUUAAAUAACCCACCUAAAUCCAACCUACAACAGCCAACUCCGUCUCCAACUAAACAGCAGAAAGCACCACCCACACCCCCACAGAAACCACCUACAACUCCUUCGCAGAAACCGACUCUAACCAAAACUCCUUCUAAAACUUCUAUCUCUGUCACCCCUGCCUCUGUAGCAGUAGUAGUUCCUCCUUCCCAGUCACCGUCACCACCUGUCAGUGCUAACGUGAAGAAACAGCCCUCAACAGCUCAGCAGCAGCAGCAGCAGCAGACAGUUGCUUCCACUCAGCCACCGCUUGAUCCUGUGACAAAACGACAACGAUCUUCUCAUUCUACUUCGACUGAAACUUCUUCGACCUCCUCCACUGGUGCCAAAGGGAAGGCCUUACUCAGCCCUCAGGGAUCAGGAGGGCCAGCGGCCAACCGCUCCUCCUGGGGCGGGAGUCCUGUCUCUGGGCCCUUCCAGGAAUCGUGCCCUGAUCGAAGUGGCAGUUUCAGGGCUUUCAAGGACUUGACUGUUUCCACCGACGGCAACAGUUUGAAGAUCGUCGAGCCGGCGCGAUCAGAGAGCGCAGUUGACAUUGCUGGAAGCUCUCAGAAAGCCAGUCAGCCACUCAGGAAGAAUAACAGUUUUAGGUCUCACCUCAGUGACAGCUGUGCAUCGCGACCAAGGCAGAAAGGGGUCGAAGCGAUUAGGAAACCUUCAGCAGCUUUACCGAAUUCAAAGCAGCCCUCGCCUUCCGAAACACCAAAGAAAUCCCAAGACCCGGUUGAACCGACCCCUCCGUCUCCUCAGAGCCCAAAGGCCCCGGAUACUGCCUUGCCCAAACCUGGAACACCUGUGCAGCCACACAAAGAGAAACAGAUUGCUGGAAACGAAGGGGUGAAAAUCAAGCAGGAGGUUCCGGUGCAGUCAGCACCUCCUCCUGCUUACCCCCACCCCCACCAUCAGCCGCUAACAGCUGCGGAAAGCCUGAGGAUACAGCAGGAGUGCCUCUCCCCAACUUCGGAGGCUAAGGCCAAUUCCUCCAACCAACGGCACCCCAGUGGAAGGAGUAACCGCUCAGGAAGUCAAAAGCUUUCUGACCUCCCCCCUUCGGGUAUUGGAGGGGGAUCCCGAGGAGCAACAACAGGCACCAGUAGCAGCACCAGUUCAAAGACCCAGGGGGUGUUGGUGUCCCCUCGCGGCUUGCAACAGCAACAACAACAGCAGCAGCAAAGAAACUCCGUCAUGGCCAGUAAUGAGCCCAGCUUUCGCGACCUCACCAAUCCAAGCCACAAUGAAUCACUCAAAGCUCACAAUGCUUUCACCUUUAAACUCGUCAAAACAGGUAUGGCCGGCGACUUUUUUUCUUACAUCUUGGAGACGGCGGUAGUGACACUAAAACCCAAGUUCCCCGCUGUGUGAUUUCGCCAUAGCAAGCUGGUAAUUGGAGAACCACCUACAGUCCAUCCCUGAGUUGACCCUUCCUUCCAACCACAAGGAUAACAUUUCCUGGCAUCCAGUUGAUCGCCCCUCCUCUGGAGAGCUAGAAGAGAGCCGAUCGCCGGACGAGGACUUGCACCAUCCGGAAGAGGCAGAUAGAGCGGAGACCGGCGGGAGACUCCAUCCCAUCUCUUUCGGCACUUAGAAGCUAGACCUACUUGUUUCAUUAAAAAAAAAAGAUAGACUUAAAAUAAAUCAGCUCUUCAUGUUUACUGUUAUUCAGUGUCAUUUAGACUUUCCUCUUCUUAACCUCUCUGAAUCAGAUUCCCGAAACGUUUGGGUUCCAGACAUUCUUGAUAUUGUAAGAUGUUUGGGUUACUUUUCUCUUUCACUUGGAAAUGCAGCAAUAAUUUUUUUUGUCCCCCUCAAGGUCAGUCCAGUUUCUGCCGGACGUCUGUCCCUUAUGUAUCUAGGUAAUAUUAGGAGCUGUUUAGUGGGCCUAUCCUUCUUCUUAUACCCACAGUCUUCACGAAGAACUUCCCGUUUAGGUCACUAAGCUUCCAUAGGUUUAGUUUGUGAACUCAGUGAAAACCCUGUGUUUUUGAUGGUCUCUUGCCGAGGGUAGGGAUGUGGCCGGUGUUAUCAUACUUAUGUUAGGGUUCAGUGACGGCUAUCAUGAUUAUUAUCUCUAUGAUGAUAUUACUUUUAGAAUUGAAUCUCCUUUUUUUUCCUUUUUUUUUUCUCCUGUGAUGACUAUUGAUUCUGACUGCUCCUCGGUUGCUAUUACAGAAGACUCUCUAGGUUUUUAGAUGGGUAACUUUCACUUCUUAGACUAAUCAUUAUGUAUUUGUUCGCACGUGAUUGUUAUCUUCCUGUUAUUUGUAGGUUUAAGGAAACUCCUUGACGAAUUUGAAGUUGAAAAGCUGUUUUUAUAGGUGCCUGUAGAUUGGACAAAACUAAUUACGUGGCAAGCAUUUAGUUUUUAAUUAAAUGUUGAAUGUUUACAUGUCAGAUGUUAUCAUAAUAGGGUAAUUGUUUGUACAAAACAGCCCGCAAAAACAUUUUCAUCUUAUCAGUUUUUUAUUGAUAGGAUACAAGCCUAUCUCAAUAAAUAUUUUUCAUUU